UGAAGCAACCGCGGGCCAGUAAGAU
rnacentral:piRNA from 1 species